rnacentral:rRNA from 2 species
UUGGUUAUGCUAGAAAGAGCGCAGGGUGGAUGCCUUGGCACUAAGAGCCGAUGAAAGACGUGAUAAGCUGCGAAAAGCUUCGGGGAGGAGCAAAUAUCCAACGAUCCGGAGAUCUCUGAAUGGGGAAACCCACAUGAGGAAACCUCAUGUAUCCAUAACUGAAUCCAUAGGUUAUGGAGGGGAACCCGGUGAACUGAAACAUCUAAGUAGCCGGAGGAAGAGAAAGAAACAUCGAUUCCGGGAGUAGCGGCGAGCGAAACCGGAAGAGCCCAAACCAGCGUGCGUGCAUGCUGGGGUUCGGACCGCGGAAGUGAUCCAACGAGUUUAGCAGAAUGGUUUUGGGAAAGCCAGCCAGAGAGGGUGAAAGCCCCGUAAGCGAAAGACGAGUUGGCACGGCGGGAUCCAGAGUACUACGAGACACGAGAAACCUUGUAGGAAGGAGCGGGGACCACCCCGUAAGGCUAAAUACUCCUUAGUGACCGAUAGCGCAUAGUACUGUGAAGGAAAGGUGAAAAGGACCCCGGGAGGGGAGUGAAAGAGAACCUGAAACCCUGUGUUUACAAGCUGUGGAACAUCUAUAGAGAGAUGGACCGCGUACUUUUUGUAGAACGGUCCGGCGAGUUACGCUGGCUGGCGAGGUUAAGGACUGAAGGUCCGGAGCCGAAGGGAAACCAAGUCUGAACAGGGCGAGAAAGUCAGUCAGAGUAGACCCGAAACCGGGUGAUCUAUCCAUGUCCAGGUUGAAGUUGCCGUAAAAGGCAAUGGAGGACCGAACCCACAUCCGUUGAAAAGGGUGGGGAUGAGGUGUGGAUAGGGGAGAAAUUCCAAUCGAACCCGGAGAUAGCUGGUUCUCCUCGAAAUAGCUUUAGGGCUAGCCUCGAUAGAGUCUGAUGGAGGUAGAGCACUGAAUUUCCUAGGGGGCGUCAAAGCUUACCGAAGAAUAUCAAACUCCGAAUGCCAUUGAGAUGCUUAUCGGGAGUCAGACUACACGAGAUAAGUUGGGUAGUCAAAAGGGAAAGAGCCCAGACCUGCAGCUAAGGUCCCAAAGUGUGUGUUAAGUGGAAAAGGAUGUGGGAUUUCGAAGACAACUAGGAUGUUGGCUUAGAAGCAGCCAUCCAUUAAAAGAGUGCGUAAUAGCUCACUAGUCGAGAGGUCCUGCGCCGAAAAUGUCCGGGGCUGAAACACACCACCGAAGCUCAGGAAUGCGGGGUUAUUGAACUUGUUCAAUAACAUACACCCGCAUUGGUAGAGGAGCAUUGCAUACGGGAAGAAGCAGUACCGGAAGGAGCUGUGGACUGUAUGGAAGAGAGAAUGCCGGAAUGAGUAGCGAGAGGAAGGUGGGAAUCCUUCCGGCCGAAUAUCUAAGGUUUCCAGGGUAAAGCUGAUCUGCCCUGGGUAAGUCGGGGCCUAAGGCGAGGCCGA